GGGCGCGUAGCUCAAUGGCGGAGCAUUCGGCUUAUAUCCGACAGGUUGGGGGUUCGAGUCCCUCCGCGCCCA
rnacentral:tRNA from 1 species